UACGGAGGUGGCAAGCGUUGCUCGGAAUCACUGGGCGUAAAGGGCGCGUAGGCGGGGAGGUAAGUCGGGUGUGAAAUCCCUCGGCCCAACCGAGGAACUGCGCCCGAGACUGCUUCUCUUGAGUCCCGGAGAGGAAGAUGGAAUUCCCGGUGUAGCGGUGAAAUGUGUAGAGAUCGGGAGGAACACCGGUGGCGAAGGCGGUCUUCUGGACGGUGACUGACGCUGAGGCGCGAAAGCGUGGGGAGCGAACAGG
rnacentral:rRNA from 1 species